rnacentral:tRNA from 1 species
AGGGAUUUAGCUUAGCGGCAUAAGCACCUGCCUUGAAAGCAGGCAGUCGUGAGUUUGAUCCCUG